UCUUAACUUAACACCUUUUUAUAUUUUUUCGACUGUGUUAUAUAUAUAUUUAUACAAUGUCUUAUAAAACUUCUUGUUGGCAAGUAGUUCCUGAACUUGGCGGGGAACACUUUGUUGAAUUUCUUCACAUUCACUUAAUUCGCUUACUAAAAUUAAACGUUGGAUAUUAAAAUUUGCACAUUUCAGAACAAUAUGAUCCAGAUCAGCAACUUCAGCAUCACAGUAUUUACAUCGGCUAUCGUUAUAUACAUUUAUUCUGUUCAAGGUUAGUGUCCAGUAGUCAUUCCACAAUUUACGGUUGAUCUCUUUGAUGUGGCUGUGGUAAUCUGAAAAUGGAACCUUCACAAGCUCUGUCUGGUCAUCAUAAUGUUCCCAAUGUGUUGCAGCGUCAGCAAUUUCAUUUCCGGGUAGACUUCCACCUAUCAAGGAAGAAGCAGAAAUAUUACAUGAAAUUGACUGAGAGACCCUGUGAUCUACUACCAGUUUCUUAUGUAAAUGACUAUUUGAUGAAAUGAUCUUCAAGAAAAAUCUCUCAGCCAACAUCAACCUACGUAACAUCAAGGGUGGUAUACAUGUCUCAACUUCCAAUGAGUUAAUUGGUGUGGAACGCAUGGCUCCACAAAUAAGUCUCAGUCCCAUAUUUUGGAUUACAUCCAAUUUUCUUAGUAAGGUGGUACUGGCAUGCAUAUAAGCUAAACUGCUGUAAUCAAAAUGACUUCUUACUAUACUUUUGUAUAACAUACUCAUAACUUUGGGGUCAGAUCCCCAAAAACUACCAGCUAAAUAGCGCAAUAUGUUUAUGCCAUUCAGUGCUUUGCUGCAUAUAUGUUUGAUAUGAUCAUCAAACUUUAAUUGAUCAUCAAUAAUAAUCCCUAGGAAUUUAUGUUGUUUAACAAUAGGAAUUUCUACAUUGUUGUACAAAAUUUUCACAUUAAAAUUAGUGUUUCGAUUUUUACUAACAAUUAGAACUGAACUUUUUCCAGGACUUAUUUCUAACUUAAGUUUAUUGUGGUAAUAGUAAUACAAUUGAUUCAAAGCAGUAUUUAUUUUGACCUUAGCUAUUUCUAUAUUUUGAUGUAUGCUAUACAAAAGUAAGUCAUCUGCAAAUUGUAAUAUUUUAACAUCUGGUACAUUUACAAAUUUUAAUAUUUCAGAGGUGUAUAAAUUAUAAAGUAAAGGAGACAGAGUGGCUCCUUGCAUUGUGCCCUUAUUAACAGUCUUAGGGCCAUGUAAUUUAUUGUUGUAUUUUACAAACACAGUUCUAUUGUUCAAAAAGUUGUAAAGCCAUUUAAGUAUAUGACCUGGGAUACCAAUAUCAUGGGAUAUUUGAAUAAGUUCCUCUAUAUUUACAUUGUCAAAAGCCCCUUUUAUGUCUAAAAAUACACAAAUUGCAUUGGA
rnacentral:lncRNA from 1 species